GAUGAAGAACGUAGUGAAAUGCGAUACUUGGUGUGAAUUGCAGAAUCCCGUGAACCAUCGAGUCUUUGAACGCAAGUUGCGCCCGAAGCCAUUAGGCCGAGGGCACGCCUGCCUGGGCGUCACACGUCGUUGCCCCCCCAUCUACUCCUUCGGGAUUGCGGGGGGCGGAUGAUGGCCUCCCGUGCGCCUUGUCGCGCGGUUGGCAUAAAUGCCAAGUCCUCGGCGACGCACGCCACGACAAUCGGUGGUUGCGAAACCUCGGUUGCCCGUCGUGUGCGGUCGUCGCGCAUCGAGGGCUCGAAAAAAUUGUCGGGCUCCGGCUCGGCUUUCAACGCGACCCCAGGUCAGGCGGGGUUACCCGCUGAAUUUAAGCAUAUCAUAAGCGGAGGA
rnacentral:misc_RNA from 1 species